GGCUAGUCCAAAGGUAGCAAGUUAUCUCACUUGGUUGUUCACGGUCAGUUACGGAUUGAACUCCUUGUUCUACAACUUUCCGCCCUUCUGACUACUGCACUUGACUAUCACUU
rnacentral:Y_RNA from 1 species